rnacentral:misc_RNA from 1 species
GAUGAAGAACGCAGCGAAAUGCGAUACGUAAUGUGAAUUGCAGAAUUCAGUGAAUCAUCGAAUCUUUGAACGCAUAUUGCGCUCUCUGGUAUUCCGGAGAGCAUGCUUGUUUGAGUAUCAGUAAACACCUCAACUUUCCAUAUCUUUUUUGAAAUGGGAGUUGGACUUGAGUGAUCCCAACGCUUUUCCUCACCGAAAAGUGGCGGGUUACUGGCAAUGCAGGUGCAGCUGGACUUUUCUCUGAGCUAUAAGCAUAUCUAUUUAGUCUGCCUAAAAAACAGAUUAUUACCUUUGCUGCAGCUAACAUAAAGGAGAUUAGUUCUUGUGCUGACUGAUGCAGGAUUCACAAAGACAGGCUUCGGCCGACUUUGUAAACUCGAUCUCAAAUCAAGUAAGACUACCCGCUGAACUUAAGCAUAUCAAUAAGCGGAGGA